rnacentral:rRNA from 1 species
UUUAAUGGAGAGUUUGAUCCUGGCUCAGGACGAACGCUGGCGGCGUGCCUAAUACAUGCAAGUCGAGCGGAUUUAGUCGGGAGCUUGCUCCUGACUGAGUUAGCGGCGGACGGGUGAGUAACACGUAGGUAACCUGCCCGUAAGACCGGGAUAACAUUCGGAAACGGAUGCUAAUAGCGGAUACGCAAUACCCUCGCAUGGGGGAAUUGGGAAAGGCGGAGCAAUCUGCCGCUUACGGAUGGACCUGCGGCGCAUUAGCUAGUUGGUGAGGUAACGGCUCA